GUCGCUGAAGCGCAUUGGCACGUUGAACUUCUAAUCCGAAGGUCGUGGGUUCGAAUCCCACCUGCGAUG